GUACCUCCACAUACAGAAGAACCUUGGCUGUAAACAAAACAUGACAAAAUGCCACAUAUUCUACAAUUGCCGUCUGAAAUACUGUCGAAUUUUCUGAUUUAUUUAUCUAGCCGUGAUUUAUGUAGUGUAUCUUUGGUGUGUAGGCGGUUCAGAGCGGCAGUCCAAGUUGACGAGUUGUGGAGACAAAGGUGUUUAGAAGUGCUCCAUAGAUAUGGAUACUUGAUUGGACCAUGGCAGACUCUGUGUGAUGUAUAUGGUGGUUUAUUGCAAGUUAAAUUUGACAGUAAUA